rnacentral:rRNA from 1 species
AUGAGUCGACCUGAUGGGAUCAACAUCCCCGACAACAAGUUCUACCUUAGAGAUGUUGGCUAUGCAUGUCGGCCGGGUGUUUUUCCACCCUUCAGGAAAACCAGGUACCAUCUCAACGAGUUCUCUGGUAGAAACUAUCCUAGGACAGCACAGGAGCUAUUUAAUCUCAGACACUCCGGCCUUAGAGUAACUGUUGAGAGGGCAUUUGGAGCUAUGAAGAAUAGAUUUAAGAUCCUGGAUCAGAAGCCAUUCCACCCAUACUCCACUGAGGUUAAGCUUGCUCUUGCUUGUUGCAUUCUACAUAACUGGAUCCUCCAGUAG